rnacentral:rRNA from 1 species
UACAGAGGUGGCAAGCGUUGUUCGGAAUUACUGGGCGUAAAGGGCGAGUAGGCGGCCUUCUAAGUCAGACGUGAAAUCCCCCGGCUUAACCUGGGAACUGCAUCCGAUACUGGAUGGCUUGAAUCCGGGAGAGGGAUGCAGAAUUCAGGUGUAGCGGUGAAAUGCGUAGAUAUCUGGAGGAAUACCGGUGGCGAAGGCGGCAUCCUGGACCGGCAUUGACGCUGAGGAGCGAAAGCUAGGGGAGCAAACGGGG